GCCCCCGCCGUGGUCGGUGGAUCCAUCGUCCCCGACACGCGCUGUGGCUCCUCCGUCCCGCCGCGCCGUCACUCUGCGCCGACCACGAAUCACCCGACGAGUCCCCCGCACCAUUGCACAUCCAAGCCUGCCCGCCGGAGCUCGAUCCCAUCUUGGCCGCCGCUCCAUUCCCUGCUGCUUUUGAGUACUCCUGCCUCGCUUCCUCUCUAACCGUCCGCCGAUGCUCACCACCAUGCAUCCCGCCGCUGGCGUGUGUGCAGCGGAAACGUUCCAUGCGGACCACCUCCAGCAAUGAAUGGGCGAUUCCCCCAUCGAAGCAGAGGAGUAGGCCUCGUGCCUUUCCGUCGGCGUCCUCACUGGUUAGUCCUUUUUGGGGCGGUUUAGAGGCGACCGGCGAGAUGGCAUCGCAGUUGGAGCAAUAGUGGGUCCAUCUCUAGAGGACACCACCCCUCUGCUAGGUGACCAGGACCUCGUAUAGUUGGAUCCAGGGGCGCCAUGCGUGCUGCUCCAUUCAACAGGAGCCACGCCCAUUAGCUGUUUCACAGAUGACUUCAAUCGCAAUCGCGAGGUCACGGUGAGAUGUAGAGACAGUUCCUUGCUGUGAAUUGCACUUGCCAAAUACUCUGCUCACCAUUUGUUUGGCAAAAUGCCUCACUGGACCGUCAAGUUGGAUGCUGCUGCAACUUGUUUAUUUCGGUCCCAGGAGCAAAAUUUGUCUACUAUUGCAUCCCUGAAGGCCUGAACACGAUGUGUACCAAUUUGGGCCGGGAGGAAGUAUCUUGUGCUUAGGAGGAAGAAUGCUUGUUAUAUCUCACUAUCUAUUUGUCUUUAUGCCUCUUUAUCAAACUUUAUGCAAGAAGCAUAUCCAAUAAUGUUUAAGUAGCUGCAUAUUUUGUAUUUGAAAUGCUUUGUACUACUACCAAGAUGGAUCCUUCAAAUAACAUCAUUUAAUAGGAUUUCCAUCCUUCUUUCUUGCAGAUUCAUACAGGUACCAUGUCGCAAAUGGAUGACAAUGAGUCUGCUGAUUUAUAUCUUCAAGCACUACUCAGCUAUAUAGAUUCAUGACCAAUGAGAGUUGCUGGCACCGGCGUUUGCACGGCGACUGACACCGUCCUGAGCUGCACCAACCUGAGCGCCCUUUCCAUCUGCGGGCGAUCAACAUCGGUCCGUGGGCUGGGUUUAAUCUAGAACAGAUCAGUCAUCAAACAUCGAUCUACAUGUACGUGGUUAUGAUGUGGUCUUUAGUUAUCCUGUUCAGUGCAUGCUACCAUAUCAAUUUGCAGUAGACAUAAUUCAGUUUCAGGAUUCAGGGAUUCAUUUUUUGGCAGGAAUUGCAUUCAGUACUUUGUUCAUGUUUUUUGAAGAACCUACUUUGUUCAUGUCGUUACAUGUAACUUCAGUAGGAAGAUGCCUUCAUUGUUUUAAAAAAUACACUAUUUUCAUGUAUUAGUGCAUAGAUAUGCAUUUGUUUGAAAGAUAGAGUUUGAGUUGGCA